CUGGAUAUGUGUCCUGAGAAGGAGAGGUAC
rnacentral:piRNA from 1 species